UCCCUAUGAUGAAGAAAUCCCCUAAUUAGAUAGGAAGUGCCGUAUGACACUUUAAAACGCGGCGGCGUU